CCGGUGAUCUAGCCAUGGGCAGGUUGAAGGUUGGGUAACACUAACUGGAGGACCGAACCGACUAAUGUUGAAAAAUUAGCGGAUGACUUGUGGCUGGGGGUGAAAGGCCAAUCAAACCGGGAGAUAGCUGGUUCUCCCCGAAAGCUAUUUAGGUAGCUGCCUCGUGAACUCAUCUUCGGGGUAGAGCACUGUUUCGGCUAGGGGGUCAUCCCGACUUACCAACCGAUGCAAACUACGAAUACCGAAGAAUGUUAUCACGGGAGACACACGGCGGGUGCUAACGUCCGUCGUGAAGAGGGAAACAACCCAGACCGCCAGCUAAGGUCCCAAAGUCAUGGUUAAGUGGGAAACGAUGUGGGAAGGCACAGACAGCCAGGAU
rnacentral:rRNA from 1 species